AUCAGUCUGUGCUAGGAGAUAUUCUGCAUGUUGUUAGAAUGGGACAAUACCAGAAACGACAUAAACAUUGAUGGCAGAAAUAUGAAGCACUUAAGUUAUUUACUCAGCCUGACAUUUGUAAUGAAAUUUUUGUUUUCUGUCUGGGUUGUAAAUGCAAAGCCAGACUUUUUCAGUACUUCAGCCAAUGUUACAGGAUCUUCCCUUACAGAGUUUGGGAGCCAUUCUAGCCAUAAUUCUUUCCUAAACAGAAAAAAAUUCACACUACAGUUGUCUCCAGAUCUUUUGUAGCUCCAGUGACAACUGGUGAAGUCCAGAGGAGGUAACUAUAAAUGACAUUCUGUGUGAGCUGCUCUGAGCAGCUGUUGGGUUCGGGGGGGGUUUCCACUCCUGAAGGAAGAAAGAAUGGCUUAUGGAGGGAGAAGGAAAGAGCACUGAGGUAACUGAAGGAGAAAUGGACAUGUCAUUAAUUAAAGUUGACACUACUCACUUUGGAAAAGUGUGAUCUAUAAAAGUUUUGUCUCGCCUUUACACCACAAAGUUCAAGCAUCAGAGGUGUCAGAGAAGGAUUUGACUUCCUCCUGUACAGAGUGGCCAUUUUGAUAUGGUAGAGAAGAAAAAGGAAAUAAGGAAGCCAUAGCUUUCCACUUCAUCCAGCUGUUGCUUCAUUUGAUCACACCUUAUACAGAGAAUGUUACUGGGCUCUCAUUUUCCAACACAGAAGAAAACUUCUCGUUGUUUUAUUAAACUCACAAAUUUGAGAACUUUUUUAUAAAUUCAUAGGAGAACUGUGGAACAAGAUGUGACUACUUUAGUAGUAAUAUACGUCUAAAUUUGGAAGGUUAUUUGUGAAGAGACAAAGUAAUGAGGAAAGUUUUCCAGUUCAUGAAAGGCACUCAGCAGGAAACACAGUGCUGGGAAUAUGCAGUGUUUUCACUAUAUGAAACUAAAGGAAUCUGAAACACUGGGACUUUUUUCCUCAAAAUCAGUGGAUACCGAAUUGUUUCUGAUAAAACAUUGCUUAUGUUAGGAGUUUCCUAGCAGAUGUUUUUCAGAUUUCCUACACCUUGCUUAUUUGUGCCUCUGUAUCUUGCAUCUGUAUCCCUGGCUUCAAGAUAUCAGCAGUUCGCACUGUAUAUUUAGAAUAGCCACAGAAACAAUUUUCAUGGCAUCAGUGACGUCAAGGCUUCCUCAAAUUGCAGCUCAUCAGCAAAUCUGGAUGGAAAUUUUCUAAGGAAACACAGUUUGAGUGGAAAAUUCCAGUUCAUCACACCUCAAUAUGGUUUCUAAAAAUUAACAAGAUUCAAUGAACCACAGACAGCUCACCUUCCAGUUUACUGGAAAUGCUAUAUAUCCCGGUUGGUGACUCACAGAAUCACAGAAUGGUUGACAUUGGAAAGGACCUCUGGAGGUCACUUGGUCCAAACCUCCUGCUCAAGCAGGGCUACCUACAGCUGGUUCCCAGGACAAUGUCCAGAUGGCUUCUGAAUAUCUCCAAGGAAGAAGACUCCACAACCUCUCUGGGAAACCUGUGCCAGUGCUGUCACCCUCACAGUAAAAACUGUUCUCUGAUAUGCAGACAAAAUCUGCUGUGUUCCAGUUUGUGCUUUUCAUCUCCUGCCCUGUCACUGGGAGCCACUGCGAACAGACUGGCUCCAUCUACUUUACACCCUCCCUUCAUUUAUAUACUUUGAGGUGAUCCCCCUGAGCAUUCUCUUCUCCAGGAUGAACAGUCCCGGCUCUCUCAGCCUUUCCUCACAGAAGAGAUGCCCUUAUCUUAGCGCCAUUUCAAUGGACUCUCUCCAGUAUGUCUGUCCUGGUUUCAGCUGGGACAGAGUUAAUUUUUUUUCUUAGUAGCUUGUACAGUGCUGUGCUUUGGACUUAGUUUGAGAAUAAUGUUGAUAACGCACUGAUGUUUUAGUCAUUGCUAGUAGUGCAUACUAUAAAUUAAGAACUUUUCAGUUUCCCAUGUUCUGCCAGUGAGCAGGUGCACAAGAAGCUGGGAGGGAGCACAGCUGGGACAGAGCUGAACUAGUCAAAGGGACAUUCUAUACUAUAGAUCAUCAUUCUGAGUAAGAAUAUGUAAGAACUUACACAACAAACCAAAAAAAAAAAAAGAAAGUUUAUGAGCUUUGGAACAAGGGGCAGGAAACUCACGAGGACUAUAAGGAUGUCCUGAGGUUGUGCAGGGAGAAAAUUAGAAGGGUCAAAGCCUAACCAGAAGUUAAUCAAUAAAAAAUGUUUCUACAAAUACUUUAGCAACAAAAGGAGAGCUAAGAAGAAUCUCUUAGCUUUUAUUGGAUGCUGGAGAAAACAGUGACAAAGGGUGAGGAAAAGGCUGAGGUACUUAAUUCCUUCACCUCGGUCUUUAAUAGUGAAAGCAGUUGUUCUCUGGGUACUCAGCCCCCUGAGCUGGAAGGCAGGAACGAGGAGCAGAAUGAAUCCCCCAUAAUCCAAGGGGAAAUGGUCAGCAACCUGUCACACCACUUAGAUACGCAAGUCUAUGGGACUGAACGGGAUCCACCUGAGGGUAAUGAGGAAGCUGGCAGGAGUGCUCAGCGAGCCCCUUCCAUCGUUUAUCAGCAGCCCUGGCUAACCGGGGAGGUACCAGCUGACUGGAGGCUAGCAAGUGAGAUGCCCAUCUACAAGAAGGGCAGGAAGGAGGAUCCAGAAAACUACAUGCCUGUCAGACUGACCUCACUGCUGGGGAGAAACUGGCUGCUCAUGGCUUGAAUGGGUGUACACUUUGCUGGGUAAAGAAACUGGCUGGCUGGCCAAGCCAAAGGCAUGGUACUAAAUGGAGUUAAAUCCAGUUGGCAGCUGGUCACAAGUGGCAUUCCCCAUGGCUCAGUAUUGGGGCUGGUUUUGUUUAACAUCUGUGUCAGUGGUCUGGAGGAGAGGAUUGAGUGCACCUUCAGUAAGUUUGCAGAUGACACCAAGCUGGGGGGCAGUGUUGGUCUGAUAGAGGGUAGGAGUGAUCUGCAGAGGGAUUUGGACAGGCUGGAUUGAUGGGCUGAGGUCAGUUGUAUGAGGUUCAACAAGGCUCAGUGCUGGGUCCUGCAACAGUACCAUGCAAUGCUACAGGCUUGGGGAAGAGUGGCUGGAAAGCUGCCUGGUGGAAAACGAUGCAGGGGUCUUGGUUGACAGCCUGCUGAAUAUGAGGCAGCAGUGUGCCCAGGUGGCCGAGAAGGCCAGCAGCGUCCUGGCUUGUAUCCUCUAGUGUGGCCAGCAGGACAAGGGAAGUGAUUGUCCCUGCUGCAGCUGCACCUUGAAUACUGUGUUAAGUUUUGGGCCUCUCACUACAAGAAAUACAUUGAGGUGCUGGGGCACACUGAAAGAAGAGCAAUGCAGGUGGAGAACAAGUCUUACGAGGAAUGGCUGAGGGAACUGGAGUUGUUUAGUCUGGAGAAAAGGAGGCUCAGGGGAGACUAUCACUCUCUACAAUUACCUGAAAGGAGGUUGUAGCGAGGUGGGUGUUGGUCUCUUUUCCCUAAUAACAAGUGAUAGGAUGAGAGGAAAUGGCCUCAAGUUGUGCCAAGGGAUGUUUAGACUGGAUAUUAGGAGAAACAUCUUCCCCUAAAGGGUUGUAUGGCAUUGGAACAGGCUGCCCAGGGAAGUGGUUGAGUCACCAUUCCUGGAGGUAUUUAAAAGAUUUGUAAUGUGGUAUUUAAGGACAUGAUUUACUGGUGGACUUGGCAGUGUUAAGUUUAUGGUGGGACUCAAUGAUCUCAAAGGUCUUUUCCAACGUAAUGAUUGUAUGAUUCUUUCACUUAAAACUUAUAAGAAUUUAUACAAUAAAAAAUAUAACAAAACGUCAUUGUUGAACCAUGAAGUUAGAACAAGAGAAACCAUGUAUUCAUUAUUUGAAUUUCUAAUAUUAAGACAUUAUUUUAAAAGAAUUAUUUCCUGAGGAAUAGUCCUUUAAUGGUUUAUAACUAACGUUUUUUAAAUAAAACUACUGAAAAUGGAUUAUAUACUUUUGGACAUGAGAUACAGUUUUAAACAUAGCAGACCCAAAUCAUCUGUCCAACAACACAGAAACAAGAAUUCUGACUUCUGGUACUUGAGAAAUUACAGAGGGUAUAAUAAAACUAAGAGAUGAAAGCUUGAACUGGUUUCAUAGCAACUCCAGUAGGUAAGUUUACAAUUUCUUUUUAGUACUGUGUUAGACUGAAAAGUCUUA